GGGGGGGGGAAGAUGCCGUUGAGACCCUCACGUCCAGGACCCGAUGGCCCACACCACAAAGGAGCUCCAGUCACCUCAAGGUGAUGCAAAUCCUACGGUCAGCGGGGCCCAACCAACGCUGCCGGGAGACGCCUUGGUACCGUCAACGGUACAAGGGCGGCAGAGCACAGAGGAUGUAUACUCCGUCAGUGACCAUUCUGGUUUGGCAAGAUGGCAG
rnacentral:lncRNA from 1 species